GGGGGUGUAGCUUAGUCUGGUUUAAAGCAGUCGCCUGUCGAGCUUCAUAACAUGGGUUCAAAUCCCUUCAUCCCCGCC
rnacentral:tRNA from 1 species